CUGGCAGUAAUAGAAACUGAAGUCCUCUUUUUGUAUCCACAGGAUAGAUACAGUUGGGCCACUCCAGUGUGAGCCUCUCCACGCUGCCCCAUCAAUGACCUGGAGGGACUUUCUUCCCUCUCUUAGAAGAUAGGAUGUUUGGUCUCCAUAGCAGCUCAGUUCUGGUCUCUC
rnacentral:sRNA from 1 species